UACGAAGGGGGCUAGCGUUUGCUCGGAAUUACUGGGCGUAAAGGGCGCGUAGGCGGUCUGUUUAAGUUCGGUGUGAAAGCCCCCGGCUCACCUGGGGAACUGCGCCGGAAACCGACAGACUCGAGUACCGGAGAGGAGGGUGGAAUUCCUGGUGUAGCGGUGAAAUGCGUAGAUAUCAGGAGGAACACCUGUGGUGUAGACAGCUUACUGGACCACUUCUGACGCUGAGACACGAAAGCGUGGGUAGCAAACAGG
rnacentral:rRNA from 1 species